CAUGGUGAAGGGGCUGAUGUUUUUGUGCUCAUGAGGAUUCUCCUUCAUUUUCUUCAUCAAGGAUUCAACUUCUGACCGGGUGCCUUCAAAACGGUUUCUUGUCUGCAUUUAAAGAUUAAUGGAAAAUGAGUAAAAAAUAUUUCAGCCAAGCUUUAAAUGCACAGAAUACUAUUUAAAGGUUAAAUGAGAAACAAGACUGGCCCAAGAAUGAAUGCUACCUGAGGCAGAACUGCAAAUGAAGAAGACCCAUACCAACCAGAUUUUUCAGUGAUAUGAGACAGAACAGCCUUCAAGAAUUUCAUCUCUAAAUCAGAAGAUGUCCAACAAUUCUGAAUUAGCAGACUACUGCACUCUGCAUGGGGCUACCCAGAGAAGAAGAAGUGCUUGACAAACCACAAAUAUUUACUUACUGGUUCCACAAACUCAAACAUCUUUCUCUCCUGAACUUCUUGUACUUUGAAGACAUACUCAAGAGAAACUUCAUAAAAGUGCUGCCUGACCAGGUCCACCUGGGUGUCUGCCUGUCAGUCGUCAUGUGGAAAGAAAAUAAAAGAAAAAGAAAAUAAAGCAAGUAAUUAACUGUGAGCAUUUGACAUCAAGAUUAUACAAAGGCUGUUCGCUUGUACAGAACUUUCCCAAUUAAGUAUAUUUAAUUCUAGAAGUCUAUGGAGCAAAGGGCUAAGCUCUUAAGAAAGAUUGCCUUGUCUGUCCAAUAGUUAAUGACGUACAAACUGAAGCUGGCAAACUUCCUUAAGUGGAUAGAGUGGUAUUCUAAGAAUCUGAGAUUUCUUCAAGGAUAAUUAAAGAUUUUUCACUGAGGUGAUUGGUACAAGUUGUCAAGUUCCCAUCUCAAAAAUAAUGAUAGCUGAUGGGGUCUGUUCAAACUGAAGCCCUAUAAGCAGAUAAACAUACUUUCUGCUGCCUUCCAAAUGUUUUGGAGUACAACUCCAGGAAUUUUGACAAUCCUGGUUAGCCAUCCAAAGAUUUUUAUAGCAACAGAAUAUGGGGGAGUUCAUUGGGAGAACACCAAAUUGGACAAGAAUGCAGCAUAGAAUACUCUCCCAAAUCCUCUGCAAAGCAGACGCAUUUCAUUGUAAAAUGCAGUUAUUUGGUGUCAGAUAAAAUGAUAAGUAGAAAUUCCAGAGCAUGGGAAUUUUGAGAACUACUGGUCAAAGAAUAAGGGGUUAUUUUCUUAUUCUUAAUUUAAAAAAAAAACAUAUAUAAGUACUUAUUACAAAGAUAUGACCACACUGAAUAUGAUCAGAUUCAUUUGGAGUCUUUUUUACUAUUUGAGAAAGAUGAGAAUGGUGAAAAUAACAAAUAUGGAAAAUAAAAAUCAAGUUAGUACUCAGAGAAAAAGAAUUGCAAUACUAUGGGCCUAAACCUAAUUAUCUGGACAAUUUCUUAUGUAAAAGAUGUCUAAGAAAGAAGAAGAAUCUUUAUUUCUGUUCUUUGCAUACAAGAAUAUGUCUACAAGCUGAAACGAGUUUUUAAAAUUCAUGUGGGACUAACAAAAGGCAACCCACAGACAGAAUAUGUUUCUUUUGAAAGAGGUUUAGAUCAAAAGUUUGGUACCUGUAUAAGAAUUUAUUUAGUUCACUACCAGCAAUCUAAUGUUGGGCUAUAAAAAACUUCAUUUCACACAAUUAUAUUAUGAGCUGAUUGUUAAUUACUCAUCUUUAAUGGCAUGGCUUUAAUGGCUAAGAUUUAGUCUCAGCCUUUCUGGAAGAAGCUCACACCUGAUAUGUUUAUGAAACUACUCAAGUUACGACUUUCAGAUUCCUAAUAUUCUUUAAAGCUCUAUGGCAAAUGGAAUCACACAAGUUUUGAAACCCUUUCUGUUUCUUAAGCACCAUGAAUGCUGUCCCAAAUGUAGCAUGUUUUCAGAUAUCUAACACACCUAUUCAAUUCAAUUCAGUUUAUUAGUCAUAGACCAUAGACCAGAACAAAUAAAAGCACUCAGUGAAUAUCCAAUUAAAAAUUCUAGAAUAAAAUAAUAAAUAAUAGUUAAAAUAUUUGAUGAAUUCCAGUCUGUCAAUUACACAUGGUCUAACUAUACUAAAAUAACAACACACCUAUGAAGUAGCUGGGUUACUCAUGAAAAUCAAAAUCCACAGCUAGAAUUAUUGCAACCAACAAGCCCUUGCACUUGCAUUUGCCCCUAAACUGACCAUCAUUCCCUUCUCAAAGCCCAAUUGAUGACCUAAACCUUCCGUCAUUUAAUACUUGAAAACUUGUAGCCUCCUGUCCCAAAGUUGUAAUCAUUUAGCCCCUCACUCAAAAUCCCAGUGCUUGAAGAAAAUACUGAUCUAGGCAGUAAAGAGAUUUUUAUUUUGGACAAAGGUAAUAAAAGCCAAAAGAGAAGGAACUCUGCAUCUCUAAAGGCAGCCAUUUAUGUUUGAAACAAAAAGAAAAAAGAAAAAAAGAGGGGGAGCUCAAAUCUCUAUAUAGAAAAAUAGCAAACUUUAAUAUAAAAUAUGGACCACAAGAUGGCACCAGUAUUCAAGUAUUACACAGCUUUACAGGGAAUUAGAAAAGCUGUGUGGCUAAAAUUGUCAUCUUGAUGGUCUAGAGAGCAAUGUUUCUCAACCUCAGCAACUUUAAGAUGUGUGGAUUUCAACUGACAGAAUUUCCCAGACAGCAAAAUUACAGCAUUCAUUCUCUACCUUACAAUUCCAAAUCUGAUGGGGGUAGACAGCUGAUUUAAUUAAAAGUAAUGUAAACUCUAACCUGGAAUUUUAGAGUGAAUUUAAAGAGCUCCAAAAUAAACUUGCUUCUUAACAUACAUACUUAAAAGUAUGUACGUUAAGGCUCAACUUUAAGCCUUUCAUUCAACAGCAAUAAAUAAACUUUUGGCUUAGUAGCACAGGCAAACAAAACAGCCAAUUUCACCUCUUG